AUUGAACGCUGGCGGAAUGCUUUACACAUGCAAGUCGAACGGUAGAGGGGCAACCCUUGAGAGUGGCGAACGGGUGAGUAAUGUAUCGGAACAUGCCCAGUCGUGGGGGAUAACGUAGCGAAAGUUACGCUAAUACCGCAUACGAUCUAUGGAUGAAAGCGGGGGAUCGCAAGACCUCGCGCGAUUGGAGUGGCCGAUAUCAGAUUAGGUAGUUGGGGGGGUAAAGGCCUACCAAGCCGACGAUCUGUAGCUGGUCUGAGAGGACGACCAGCCACACUGGGACUGGGAAACGGCCCAGACUCCUACGGGAGGCAGCAGUGGGGAAUUUUGGACAAUGGGCGCAAGCCUGAUCCAGCCAUUCCGCGUGCAGGAAGAAGGCCUUCGGGUUGUAAACUGCUUUUGUACGGAACGAAACGCGCUGAGCUAAUACCUCGGCGUAAUGACGGUACCGUAAGAAUAAGCACCGGCUAACUACGUGCCAGCCGCCGCCGUAA
rnacentral:rRNA from 1 species